rnacentral:rRNA from 1 species
UAACAUGUAGGUAUCUGCCCUUUGGCCUGGAAUAACACGAGGAAACUUGUGCUAAUACCGGAUAAGUCUUUACGGAGAAAGCUUUAUGCACCAUUGGAUGAGCCUGCACUUGAUUAGUUUGUUGGUAGGGUAAUGGCCUACCAAGACUAUGAUCAAUAGCUGAUUUGAGAGGAUGAUCAGCCACAUUGGGACUGAGACACGGCCCAAACUCCUACGGGAGGCAGCAGUGGGGAAUCUUGCACAAUGGAGGAAACUCUGAUGCAGCGAUGCCGCGUGAGUGAAGAAGGCCUUUGGGUUGUAAAGCUCUUUCGUCGGGGAAGAAAAUGACUGUACCCGAAUAAGAAGG